AACGAGCGCUGGCGGCAUGCCUAACACAUGCAAGUCGAAUGAGACCUUCGGGUCUAGUGGCGCACGGGUGCGUAACGCGUGGGAACCUGCCCUUAGGUUCGGAAUAACUCCCCGAAAGGGGUGCUAAUACCGGAUAAUGUCUUCGGACCAAAGAUUUAUCGCCUUUGGAUGGGCCCGCGUUGGAUUAGCUAGUUGGUAGGGUAAAAGCCUACCAAGGCGACGAUCCAUAGCUGGUCUGAGAGGAUGAUCAGCCACACUGGGACUGAGACACGGCCCAGACUCCUACGGGAGGCAGCAGUGGGGAAUAUUGGACAAUGGGCGAAAGCCUGAUCCAGCAAUGCCGCGUGAGUGAUGAAGGCCUUAGGGUUGUAAAGCUCUUUUACCCGGGAUGAUAAUGACAGUACCGGGAGAAUAAGCUCCGGCUAACUCCGUG
rnacentral:rRNA from 1 species